rnacentral:rRNA from 1 species
AAGGAUCAUUAUUGAAUUAUAGGCGAGGGUUGUCGCUGGCCUCUCGGGGCAUGUGCACGCCCGAGCCAUCCCCAACAAACACCGUGGGCCUUCGGGCCCGCGUAUAUUUACUCUGAAUGUGUAUAGAAUGUAAACCAUUUGUUUGCCCUGAAAAAGCAAGCGAAAAAAAAGUACAACUUUCAACAACGGAUCUCUUGGCUCUCGCAUCGAUGAAGAACGCAGCGAAAUGCGAUAAGUAAUGUGAAUUGCAGAUUUUCAGUGAAUCAUCGAAUCUUUGAACGCACCUUGCGCCCCUUGGUAUUCCGAGGGGCAUGCCUGUUUGAGUGUCAUUAAAUCCUCAACCGCGCCGAUUGAUUUCGGUGGGGCUUGGACUUUGGAGCGUGCUGGCGAAGGUCGGCUCCUCUUUAAAUGCAUCAGCGGAAGAAACCUUUGUCUUUCCUGCCUUCGGUGUGAUAAUCGUGUUGCGCCGUGGUGGAACUUCAACGAUCCGCUUACAAUGGUCUUCGGACGAAACCUCAUGUCAUCUUGACCUCAAAUCAGGUAGGACUACCCGCUGAACUUAA